rnacentral:ncRNA from 1 species
GAAGAAUUGCGCGGCGCGUAAUUGACGAAGGCGUAGCCGCGCGACUGAUCGAUGCAGUGAAACAGAGGAUUCCAGUCGAACAUGGCAAGCAGUUGUGGGCUCAGUGUGUUGGCAACGAACAUUUUGCCCGAUGCGAUCAUGUUGGCACGCUG